CUGUUCGCCAUUUAAAGUGGUACGCGAGCUGGGUUUAGAACGUCGUGAGACAGUUUGGUCCCUAUCUGGUGUGGGCGCUGGAGACUUGAGAGGAGCUGCUCCCAGUACGAGAGGACCGGAGUGGACGAUCCUCUGGUGUUCCGGUUGUCACGCCAGUGGCACUGCCGGGUAGCUAUGAUCGGACGGGAUAACCGCUGAAAGCAUCUAAGCGGGAAGCCUCCCUCAAGAUGAAGUCUCCCCGGACCUUCGAGGUCCCUGAAGGCUCGUCGUAGACCACGACGUGAUAGGCGGGGUGUGAAAGCGCGGUAACGCGUUGAGCUAACCCGUACUAAUAGGCCGUGCGACUUGACCAU
rnacentral:rRNA from 1 species